rnacentral:sRNA from 1 species
AUAAUACUGAUAUUUACUUAAUACAGGAGGCUGUCGAUUUUUUUAGUCGCAAUACAGUUUUCUGUCACUCAUGAGGACUAAGUGUGACUACCGUUUUCCCUUUAGUUAAAAUUGCUUCAUUUAACCAUGGUGGACCCUAGGAUCGGGGCCAUAGUGGUCGGGGUCACAGCUGUCCUAGUGAUAGGUAUCCUGGUCGUGUACGUCAUCAAAGCAAACCUUAAACGGUCACGUGCAAUUAGUGUUAGACCAGUCACCAAGGUCCACUACUCCAAGGGACAGACCAGUGGUCACGUGUCCAUCAUUCACUUGUCUGAUGGCCACGGCGGUAAUCCGAGUAUAUUCAUAUCUUCCUACCCCUAGCUCAAUGUGACUGGGUUCCCAGUGUGACUACAGGGGACCUAAAUGUCCGUCGCCUGUAUCGGUGUGUUCAAACCCAGGAACCAUCCCGCUUUCUCCCUGGGACAAAUUUCCCUUCACAGAAAACCAUCCACAGUGGCUAAUAUUGCUAAUUUAUGCGUGCCAUCUUCCGUGAAUCUAUCAUAUGCAUCUAAUAUGUCAAAAAUUGGUUGUAAUAUCAAGAAAUUGAAUCCUUAGAUAAAUAAAUUGCUGUUUUGUUGUUGUCAUAUGUAUAUAUAACUAUUGCAUCUAUCAGUUUACUUACAAGUGUGCAAUCUUUUGAGUUAUCUGUUGUGUAUAAUAUAUAAAGUUUUUACGUUAAGUU